AAAAAAAAAAAAGAAAUAAAAAAAUAAAGUAAGGGCAAUGGCCUUUUUACUGUUUGGAUUAUAACAAAUUAUUGCCUUUUGUUUGCACAGUUGAGGCUUUCAGUGAGCUUAAAUGAAAAAUUCCGUCUUUUGGCUGUGUAAGUUUUUGCCUGCAUAUGCAAAGGCUUCAUAAAAUAAUCUCUGUGACUAAAAUUUCAUUUCAUCUGUUCUCAGUCAUCCCUUAACCCAGCGCUAUAUUACCUUAUGCCUCCAAUUCAGUGGUAGCCCUCUACGGAAUAGAAUUCCACUCCAACCCCUCAUUCAUGAUGCACUAAAUGAGAAUGUAAGAAUGAUGCUACUGUGUGAAGUAGGAGACACUUUCUCAAACAGUAUCCCUUUUUUUGAUGUCUGUCAACCAGAUAUCUAUGUUUUCAAACAGUAGUGUUUUUAAGCUGUAAAUGAACCGUAGUACUGCUUUUGUAGAACUAAAAUUGUAUAAUUGUUACAUCAUCUUAAUUUUGCAGCUGACAGAACAAGAAGUAGAAACAAUAUUGGAUAAAGCAAUGGUCCUUUUUAGGUUUAUGCAAGAAAAAGAUGUAUUUGAACGUUAUUAUAAACAACACUUGGCAAGGAGACUUCUCACAAAUAAAAGUGUUUCUGAUGACUCUGAAAAAAACAUGAUAUCUAAGUUAAAGACUGAAUGUGGAUGUCAGUUCACGUCAAAACUGGAAGGAAUGUUUAGGGAUAUGAGCAUCUCAAACACAACGAUGGAUGAA
rnacentral:sRNA from 1 species